AGGCAUGGACAAGUAUGGGAGUGCCAUCCUAAAGUUGUGUGGGUGAGCCAAGAAAUUGGAUGAUGUACAUCAGCAGGCUGUGGAUGACAUCUCUGCUCAACGGGAUGAGACUGCUAGAAAAGAAGCAUCUUCUGUCGCAGCCAUCCUUGGAAUUCCAGGGCCUCUGAGAGAAAAGGCUACCAGCAUGUUGGUACUUGCUCAAGAGAGUGACAAUGGUUCCCCGAUAAUCAGAGGAGACGAGCCAUCACUGUCCGAGUGCACAGAGUUUCUAAUCAUAGUCGAUGGGGAGGAAGUAGCCCACUGUGCCUCCUUUCUAGCAGCCGUGCCUGUCUAUCUAUCGUGUUUCUAUAACUUCAAUCUAGCUUAUCAUAAAGAUUUGAGAAAGACGUUGACUUUUUUUCAGAAGGUGAUAUUAAAUAUUCAGGACAAUGUUAAAAUCGAGCGAUCCGUAGUCACAUUACUUGAGAGGCUAAACCAGCAUCUCGUGUAAUGUGCUCGGAUUUAGCCAGGUAAUUGCAAAUCUGAGGAAGUUUCAUUUACCUGGUUAAAUUUCAAGUAUUAAGUGCCAACAUCAUACUUCAGUCAUUUAUUUAAGUCUGU